UGAGGAAUAUUGGUCAAUGGACGAGAGUCUGAACCAGCCAAGUCGCGUGAGGGAAGACUGCCCUAUGGGUUGUAAACCUCUUUUAUAAGGGAAGAAUAAGUUCUACGUGUAGAAUGAUGCCUGUACCUUAUGAAUAAGCAUCGGCUAACUCCGUGCCAGCAGCCGCGGUAAUACGGAGGAUGCGAGCGUUAUCCGGAUUUAUUGGGUUUAAAGGGUGCGUAGGCGGUUUAUUAAGUUAGUGGUUAAAUAUUUGAGCUAAACUCAAUUGUGCCAUUAAUACUGGUAAACUGGAGUACAGACGAGGUAGGCGGAAUAAGUUAAGUAGCGGUGAAAUGCAUAGAUAUAACUUAGAACUCCGAUAGCGAAGGCAGCUUACCAGACUGUAACUGACGCUGAUGCACGAGAGCGUGGGUAGCGAACAGGAUUAGAUACCCUGGUAGUCCACGCCGUAAACGAUGCUCACUGGUUCUGUGCGAUAUAUUGUACGGGAUUAAGCGAAAGUAUUAAGUGAGCCACCUGGGGAGUACGUCGGCAACGAUGAAACUCAAAGGAAUUGACGGGGGCCCGCACAAGCGGAGGAACAUGUGGUUUAAUUCGAUGAUACGCGAGGAACCUUACCUGGGUUUAAAUGGGAAAUGUCGUAUUUGGAAACAGAUAUUCUCUUCGGAGCGUUUUUCAAGGUGCUGCAUGGUUGUCGUCAGCUCGUGCCGUGAGGUGUCGGGUUAAGUCCCAUAACGAGCGCAACCCUUACCGUUAGUUGCUAGCAUGUAAUGAUGAGCACUCUAACGGGACUGCCACCGUAAGGUGAGAGGAAGGCGGGGAUGACGUCAAAUCAGCACGGCCCUUACACCCAGGGCUACACACGUGUUACAAUGGCCGGUACAGAGGGCCGCUACCAGGUGACUGGAUGCCAAUCUCAAAAGCCGGUCGUAGUUCGGAUUGGAGUCUGUAACCCGACUCCAUGAAGUUGGAUUCGCUAGUAAUCGCGCAUCAGCCAUGGCGCGGUGAAUACGUUCCC
rnacentral:rRNA from 1 species